AAUUAAUUGUAUUCGGCCAGCUUUCAUGCGCACCAAGGGGCUGAUUGCAUUUCCCAGCCACCCAUUGGUCUACUUUGUUCGUGUUAUCUCCUAACCAACCUUAUUUAAUACAUACCCUCUUAACUUCAAUCACUAGUUCGAUACCCUCAUCACUUUUGACACAACCGCACCAUUCGAAAGACACUUUCACUCUCUCCCUCGUCGAUAUAAGGCUACCGGGGUUCACCGGAGCUCGCUAGAGAUCGAAGUUCACGACGGAACUGUUUGGCCAUGUUUCGCUCGCCGAGCACGUAGCCGAAAACACCUUCCUUGCACCUCGCCGGACCUGCAUGUGGCCAGACUUGUAUCCCUGGCGGAGUUCGGAGCAUUCGCCGGAGAUCAGAGAAGACGACCGGAAGGCCGCCGACGCCGUUUCGUUCACCGAACAAGUUGCCGGAGUUCUAGGUUUGCCAGAGACCGGUGCUCAACGGAAAACGAUACGAGAUCGCACCCUUUCAUUCGGAUAACCUCUUGCGUUCGUUCUCUUGGAUUUACUCAAUCUAUACUCGUGCGUUACUUACAAGAAAUCGCAUACGCAACCGAGGUUGAUGAGGAUGAUGCUAAGAAAAGAAGUAGCGUUGAUGCCUAGAUACACAUAUAGACGUU